GGCGGCGCGCAUAACACAUGCAAGUCGAGCGAGGGCUUAUCUCCCGCAAGGGAGGUGAGUUCCUAGCGGCGAACGGGUGAGUAACACGUGGGCAACCUUUCCUAUCGCGGGGGAUAACACCGGGAAACCGAUGCUAAUACCGCAUGUCGUCACUGGUCGCAUGGCUGGUGAAGAAAGCAGCAAUGCACGAUGGGGUGGGCCCGCGGCCUAUCAGCUAGUCGGUGGGGUAACGGCCUACCGAGGCGAUAACGGGUAGCUGGUCUGAGAGGACGGCCAGCCACACGGGGACUGAGACACGGCCCCGACUCCUACGGGAGGCAGCAGUGAGGAAUCUUCCGCAAUGGGCGAAAGCCUGACGGAGCGACGCCGCGUGUGGGAUGAAGUCUUUCGGGAUGUAAACCACUGUCGGAGGGGAAGACAUCGACGGUACCCUCCAAGAAAGCCCCGGCUAACUACGUGCCAGCAGCCGCGGUAAUACGUAGGGGGCAAGCGUUAUCCAGAUUUACUGGGCGUAAAGCGCGU
rnacentral:rRNA from 1 species